ACAGGUUCACUUGCUAGAAGAUCAUCUCCCAAAGUACCUCCAAAGAUGGACAGACAUCUACACCUAGUGACAUUAAGACAGGGAACUCACUUUAGUGAGAUCCCUUUGCAAACAACAUCAAACUGCACAAGAAGAAUGAACGAGGGUCCCUCAGGCCUCUGAGAAGCUACCAGAAUUCCUCUGAGUUUUCCCUGCAUUUUGGUCCAGAGGUUUCCAACUACUGACCCCCAGGAUAUUCAUGUUCUAUCAUCAGGUCAAAGUUGCCUCACCAUGAAAAUCAAACUCUGCCCAAUCCUUAGAAGGGAAAAAAUAAUAAUAAUAUAGAGUGACCUAUAGAUAUACGAUAUUUAUUCUUUUUUAGUUUUUCCAUUAAUUUCUCUAAAACCUUAGCACAUACCACCACAUGAUCUAACAGGAAAUGAAGGCAACAUAUAUUCAAAAACCAUGUGCAUGUGUUUAAACUGAAUUCUAGAAAUAUGAAUUCCUUAAACAAUUUUAAAUUGUCAAACUUUAACUACUUACAAGAGAAACCUUGUUUUCUUCUAGGUAAGCAGGGCCUUUUUCAUAUGACAGAAGCAGUGACAUUGCAACUUUGUGCACUCCGAGCGUUGGGUACCUUGAAGCCCAGCCAGGAGCUUUAGCCCCUGAGCAAGUACAAGCAUCACUCACUGGUCUCUAGUCAAAUCGCUAAGCCUGCCAACAAACACUCUGCAGGAAGUGACGGGAAGUCAGGGAGUUUGAGUUGUAAAAGGCUGGUGGGUUCCAUUGCAAAAUGCCCACCAACACGUUCCACAAACCCUCCUGCUGCAGGAAGGUGGCU